rnacentral:piRNA from 1 species
UACAGGUACUGGUAUAUUUAAGGC